rnacentral:rRNA from 1 species
GAUUAUGGCUCAGGAUGAACGCUGGCGGCGUGCCUAAUACAUGCAAGUCGAACGCAUUACGUUCGGUAGUGAGUGGCGAACGGGUGAGUAACACGUAGGUAACUACCUCUAAGACGAGGAUAACGACUGGAAACGGUCGCUAAAACUGGAUAGGAUCAUUUGAGGCAUCUCGAAUGAUUUAAAGGGGCUUUCAAGCCACACUUAGAGAAAGGCCUGCGGCGCAUUAGCUAGUUGGUGGGGUAGAGGCCUACCAAGGCGAUGAUGCGUAGCCGGACUGAGAGGUCGAACGGCCACAUUGGGACUGAGACACGGUCCAGACUCCUACGGGAGGCAGCAGCUAAGAAUCUUCCGCAAUGGGCGAAAGCCUGACGGAGCCGACGCCGCGUGAACGAAGAAGGCCGUGAGGUUGUAAAGUUCUUUUUGGGAGGGGAACAACCGUGGCAGGGAAUGGCCGCGGGAUGACGUGAAUCCCGGAAUAAGCCCCGGCUAACUACGUGCCAGCCGCCGC